AAAAAAUCUAAGAUUUCAUCAUCAAGAUUGGUUAAUUAAAUGUUACUUUACCUAUCAAGUAGUGUUUCCGAGCGCAAUCUUGUGUGUUUCCGAACGCAAUCCUGCACGUAAGAGAAUUAGUCCCAAAUUUCCGCUAUGAGUCGCCACCAUCCUUACCGAAGAAUUCGGUCAUAGUAUAACUCGACACAAGCCAGAUUCUAUCGAAUGUUUUAUUUUUCAAAUAGCGCGACUCCACGACUGCUGAAACGUACUUUUCCAUUAUAUGAAACAGGGAAGUUACAGUUCGCUGAAGUUUAAAGGCAAAUUGAAUUUAGCGGUAAAUUUAUCUUCACCUGCUUCUACCAGGCGACGCUUAUUUUAAUGAUCUCGCCGGCAACACGUUGGUUUGCCUUCUUUAGUCAGUCUCACAAUGUUUGUAACAGAUUACCAGGGGAGCGAUGUAACAGUUUCCGGUGUUAUAUAUUUCUGUAAACAAAUAUCAUCUUUGCAAUAAUUUCACAAAUAUCUGAAAUAAUCAGAGAAAAGAGUGAAAUUUUAAUAUGAUAUCAAGAGGAACCGUUCGACAAAUUUUUUUCACCGGACAUCACGUGUCUCAGCGAAAUAGCAAGAAAGAAAUGUGAAACACGAGAACUGUGUUCGUGAACGUUAACGUUGUAAUCGCCGAAUAAGCGAUAUAUAAUCGUUUGAUUCAUCGUGAUGUUCACUGUGCGUGUCAAGCGGCUUUCUAAAGAAAAUAAAAAUCUCCGAUUAAUGCAAACGUUUACGAGAAAUUAUCAAACAUACAUGAAUUCGGAAAUUUUGCUUCUUCUUGCAAAUGUGCUAAAAAUAAAGGCGGAUCCAAAGAUCGACGUAGAUUUUACGAGAGGAAUGUCGGCGUUGUCG